GCUGGCGGCGCGCCUAACACAUGCAAGUCGAACGAGCGAGAGAGAGUUUACUUUUUCGAGCGAGUGGCGAACGGGUGAGUAACGCGUGAGGAACCUGCCUCAAAGAGGGGGACAACAGUUGGAAACGACUGCCAAUACCGCAUAAGCCCACGGCUCGGCAUCGAGCAGAGGGAAAAGGAGCAAUCCGCUUUGAGAUGGCCUCGCGUCCGAUUAGCUAGUUGGUGAGGUAACGGCCCACCAAGGCGACGAUCGGUAGCCGGACUGAGAGGUUGUACGGCCACAUUGGGACUGAGACACGGCCCAGACUCCUACGGGAGGCAGCAGUGGGGAAUAUUGCACAAUGGGGGAAACCCUGAUGCAGCGACGCCGCGUGGAGGAAGAAGGUCUUCGGAUUGUAAACUCCUGUUGUUGAGGAAGAUAAUGACGGUACUCAACAAGGAAGUGACGGCUAACUACGUGCCAGCAGCCGCGGUAAAACGUAGGUCACAAGCGUUGUCCGGAAUUACUGGGUGUAAAGGGAGCGCAGGCGGGAAGACAAGUUGGAAGUGAAAUCCAUGGGCUCAACCCAUGAACUGCUUUCAAAACUGUUUUUCUUGAGUAGUGCAGAGGUAGGCGGAAUUCCCGGUGUAGCGGUGGAAUGCGUAGAUAUCGGGAGGAACACCAGUGGCGAAGGCGGCCUACUGGGCACCAACUGACGCUGAGGCUC
rnacentral:rRNA from 1 species